AAGGCCGGUCACCGGAAGCUGAGCUUCUCCUUCCGGGUCGGAGCCAUGGCGGUGGCAAAUUCAAGUCCGGUUAACCCAGUGGUCUUCUUUGAUGUCAGCAUUGGCGGCCAGGAAGUUGGUCGCAUGAAGAUCGAGCUGUUUGCAGACGUGGUGCCUAAGACGGCAGAGAAUUUUAGGCAAUUCUGCACUGGAGAGUUCAGAAAAGAUGGUGUUCCUAUAGGAUACAAAGGAAGCACCUUCCAUAGGGUCAUAAAGGAUUUCAUGAUUCAGGGUGGAGAUUUUGUUAAUGGAGAUGGUACUGGAGUCGCUAGCAUUUACCGUGGUCCAUUUGCAGAUGAAAAUUUUAAACUUAGACACUCAGCUCCAGGCCUGCUUUCCAUGGCAAACAGUGGUCCGAGUACAAACGGCUGCCAGUUCUUUAUCACAUGUUCUAAGUGUGAUUGGCUGGAUGGGAAGCACGUAGUGUUUGGAAAAAUCAUUGAUGGACUUCUGGUGAUGAGAAAAAUCGAGAACGUUCCCACGGGCCCUAACAAUAAGCCCAAACUGCCAGUGGUGAUCUCACAGUGUGGGGAAAUGUAAUCUCAACCAAGACUGAACCCGUACAGCUAACCUGGAAGGCCAUGGACAGCAAGCCAUCAAAGCCUGAUGAGGACACAGGCCUUGAACCAAGCAGAAAGCCCAGCACUGUUAACUCUGGCCUUAGUCAUUAAGCCUCCUGGAACUCGUUUGUCCCGUUGCAUGGAGAUGGUAUAUCCAGGCCAGUGAGCCAGUACAGCAGGUCUUCUGUGUUGGGUGACAUUCUCCAUGAGUCUGACAAGCUGGACUGGCCUCUGUGUUUGCUUCUCUGCCUCCACAAUGUGUGAUCCAGGACCUGGAAGUAUCACAGAUCAGAACCAAGAUCAUGUUUAAAUUUUGAACUGUAAAUAAAGAAUUUUUUUUUAAUGUAUGGA